AUAAUUAUGUCACCUGAGGGUUAUUUUGGUUAAAGGUGUAUUGGACUGGGGUGGAGCAUUUUACUCUAGAAUCUGGACUAAGCUUAUGACCUUAAGUUUGUAUUCAAAUUGUUUUAAUUUAGGGUUUUAGCUGAUUUUCACUAGUAACUUGUACACUACAAACCAGUAACAGCUGUUAAAGGAAUCAGGAUAGAUGGUGAAACUGAAAGUCUCAGUACUGUACUCCAUCUAUUUAUAAUUAGCUCUGAUGUUUCUUCUCAUGGACAAUUAAUUUAGUUUUUGUUCAAUCGUUGUUUGAGAUGUUACCUCCAUAUAUAUUUGUUGAACUUAAACUAACCUCAGGUUAGAGGCGAUAUAGCAAGGGCAUUAAUGUACAUGGCAGUCUGUUAUGGGUUCCAACAACCAGGGGGAAGUCCAGGCCUUCGCCUCUCGGAUGCCCCAAACGUUGAAAACAGGGAGAUGGGACUUCUUUCCACUUUAU